rnacentral:misc_RNA from 1 species
UGUGGCGACUCAAAUGAUUAAGAACUUUACCAAUUGUUCCAACCGACUUCUGUGAAGAUAAACCGGCAUCGUUAAGCCUUUAUGAAGACUCUAACGACCGACUUUGUGUCACACGUUUGAAAACCGUUUGCUAACCUCAGGUGAGACACAGAAGAUGCGGACAAGGAUUUUUCAAAGAUGAUUUUUCGACCGGGCGGACAUACGCGGGGGGCUUACAUAAAGCGCCACACAUGUACAGUGGCGUGGGCCUUCGGUGCUUGAUGAUACGGUCUUAACUGAGAUUUUUGGAUGGUAAAGCCAUUUCUUUGAGUACGCUAACAACAGAUUUGUGCGUGCAUGCACAAUGUGUGUGGUGGCCACGGGAGAAUCUUCUCCUUGGUCGCCUUGCAAUCUACUGGAUAUCGCUACUGGCGGUAGUCAGGAGAGGCCUUCCCGCAAAUGAUGUUAUAUUCACACUGUUUGAGGGACUGACAUCUCUAUGAACAUUAAACUUAUACUGAUUUAAUGAGACUGAUGCACUUUGGAAGGCCCCAUGUUGAUGAUACCCCUUUUUAUAUAGUGAACAUAUUUCAGGCUGA